rnacentral:rRNA from 1 species
AGGCCUUCGGGUUGUAAAGUACUUUCAGCGAGGAGGAAGGCGUUGUGGUUAAUAACCGCAGCGAUUGACGUUACUCGCAGAAGAAGCACCGGCUAACUCCGUGCCAGCAGCCGCGGUAAUACGGAGGGUGCAAGCGUUAAUCGGAAUUACUGGGCGUAAAGCGCACGCAGGCGGUUUGUUAAGUCAGAUGUGAAAUCCCCGGGCUCAACCUGGGAACUGCAUUUGAAACUGGCAAGCUUGAGUCUCGUAGAGGGGGGUAGAAUUCCAGGUGUAGCGGUGAAAUGCGUAGAGAUCUGGAGGAAUACCGGUGGCGAAGGCGG